AUAUUGAUAUUAUUUUUUUCAUACCUUUUUACUAUUUAUUUACUUUUUUUCGAUGAAUUAAAACAAUAACAUGAACCGAAGUCGUGUAACGAUCGACAUAGAAUUAUCUAUACUCCGUUAGAGCAUUUUCUUUGUACUAAAUGUUUUAUUAUAUUGAUAUUAUUUUUUUCAUACCUUUUUACUAUUUAUUUACUUUUUUUCGAUGAAUUAAAACAAUAACAUGAACCGAAGUCGUGUAACGAUCGACAUAGAAUUAUUUAUAAAUAAUUUAUUUCUUAUUUUUAUUUUUUGAUUUUUGAAAUAAAAAUAUAUCUAUGUCCUUUCUAAGGUUCUAAACUAUAUCUGUACCAAAUUUCAACCAAAUCCGUCAAAUAGUGGCGGAGAUUAAUGGUAUAAGCAUAGAAUGUUCGACGUGAUUCUUUAAUUUGACAUAACUUUUUUAUUUAUGAACCGAUUGACAUGAAACAAACACUAAAUGUAAAUUUAAGCAUCCCACAAUAUAUUCGUGAAAACCGCAUCCAACUCGGACCGCCGUUUCUGAGAUUAGCGCGCACAGACGAACAGACAAACAGACAAACAGACAAACAGACAAAAAAAAAGUUAAUUACAUUUUUGGGUUCGACAUCGACAUAACAAUAACCCCUGCUAUUUUUUUUAUUUUUAUUUUCAAUGUACAGACAGCACUUUUCUACGAUUUUAUUAUAUGUAUAGAUGU